AAGACUAUACUUUCAGGGAUCAUUUCUAUAGUUUCUAACUAGGAAAUGUGAUUGGAAAGUGUUACGUUUCUCUAAUCACGAUGAUGAGUUAUGAUGUACUUUUCUGAGCAUGAAUCAGAUUAUAGCUUUGUGUUUCAUGAAUGAGCUAUAAUUGUUGAUGAGUGUUCUCUGUCUUUAAAAGACAUCAGAAGAAAAGUAUGUGAUCAGAGUGAU